UUGAUUAAUUUAUCAUUGACUCGGACGCACAGAUGCAGGGUUGAUGGGUCCUCCGGGGGCCCGGCGCGGCGCCGGUGGUCCCCCGAGGCACGAAGGCCGUAUCACAUGGGGUUGGAGGUCGGGCCAGGGGCCCUUCGCUCAUUAAUGAUCCCUCCGCAGGUUCACCUACGGAGA
rnacentral:misc_RNA from 1 species